rnacentral:rRNA from 1 species
CGAAAGCCUGACGGAGCAAUACCGCGUGCGGGAGGACGGCCUGUGGGUUGUAAACCGCUUUUCUCAGGGAAGAAGACCUGACGGUACCUGAGGAAUCAGCAUCGGCUAACUCCGUGCCAGCAGCCGCGGUAAUACGGAGGAGGCAAGCGUUAUCCGGAAUGAUUGGGCGUAAAGCGUCCGCAGGGGGCAAGGUAAGUCUGCUGUCAAAACCCAGGGCUCAACUCUGGUCAGGCAGUGGAAACUACAUAGCUAGAGUUCGGUAGGGGCAAAGGGAAUUCCCGGUGUAGCGGUGAAAUGCGUAGAGAUCGGGAAGAACAUCGGUGGCGAAAGCGCUCUGCUGGGCCGCAACUGACACUCAGGGACGAAAGCUAGGGGAGCG